ensembl:rRNA 5S_rRNA 5S ribosomal RNA
CUCAGCAGCCAUAUCACCCUGCAACUCACAACUGGCAACCCACUGAAGCUAAGCAGGUGUGAGCCUGGUCAGUACCUGGAUGGGAGAGCUCCUGGGAGAAACUAAGGUUGCUGCUGGAA